rnacentral:rRNA from 1 species
CAUAUCAAUAAGCGGAGGAAAAGAAACCAACAGGGAUUGCCCUAGUAACGGCGAGUGAAGCGGCAACAGCUCAAAUUUGAAAUCUGGCGCAAGCCCGAGUUGUAAUUUGCAGAGGAUGCUUCUAGGCAGCGGCCGUUCUAAGUUCCUUGGAACAGGACGUCAUAGAGGGUGAGAAUCCCGUAUGUGACCGGCACGCACCUUUUACGUAGCUCCUUCGACGAGUCGAGUUGUUUGGGAAUGCAGCUCUAAAUGGGAGGUAAAUUUCUUCUAAAGCUAAAUACCGGCCAGAGACCGAUAGCGCACAAGUAGAGUGAUCGAAAGAUGAAAAGCACUUUGGAAAGAGAGUUAAAAAGCACGUGAAAUUGUUGAAAGGGAAGCGCCUGCAACCAGACUUCGCGGCAGUGUUCCGCCGGUCUUCUGACCGGUUCAUUCUCUGUCGCGAGGCCAUCAUCGUCUGGGGCCGCUGGAUAAGACUGGAGGAAUGUAGCUCCCCUCGGGGAGUGUUAUAGCUUCCAGUGAUGCAGCGUGCCUCGGGCGAGGUCCGCGCUCGGCAAGG